AAAUGAGCAAAUAUAUGGCAUGAAUAAUAAAGCAGAGAAUGGGUUGAAAGCAUGUGAUGGCACAUUGAUGAGGAAACUAUUUUCAAAGUCAUAUCUAGAAUAAAUAGUAGUUAAAGAAUAAUUUCAUAAAUAAAAGAAAACAGCAUAGGCUUCUUUCAAUUGAAAGCAAUAAAUUUGAAUAAAAUAAAUAUUCACAUAAGCAGGAUGAGAAUUCCAGUUUCUAACCCCAAUACCAAAACAGAUACUCAGUGGAAUUAAAUAGAUUUUCAUAACAGGGAAUUUUUAGAAUCAUUUGGAAAAGACAA